UAAGUCCUUAUCUCGGGGAACGCGCAGGGUCAGUGAUCGUAAUGUGAGCCUCUGUCGUGCUACGCCCAAAGAUAUUAACUCAUAUCGCUGUCCACGUUCCUUAGCGUGGGCUGCAAUUUUUGUAGCC